rnacentral:rRNA from 1 species
AGAACGAACGCUGGCGGCAUGCCUAAUACAUGCAAGUCGAACGAACACUUCGGUGUUAGUGGCGCACGGGUGCGUAACGCGUGGGAAUCUGCCCUUGGGUUCGGAAUAACAGUUGGAAACGACUGCUAAUACCGGAUGAUAUCGAAAGAUCAAAGAUUUAUCGCCCAGGGAUGAGCCCGCGUAGGAUUAGCUAGUUGGUGAGGUAAAGGCUCACCAAGGCGACGAUCCUUAGCUGGUCUGAGAGGAUGAUCAGCCACACUGGGACUGAGACACGGCCCAGACUCCUACGGGAGGCAGCAGUAGGGAAUAUUGGACAAUGGGCGCAAGCCUGAUCCAGCAAUGCCGCGUGAGUGAUGAAGCCUUAGGGUGUAAAGCUCUUUACCCGAGAUGAUAAUGACAGUAUCGGAGAAUAACGACCCGCUAACUCCGUGCCAGC